UCGGUUGAGAGAAGAAUUGGAAAGCGGCGGACGGGUGAGUAACGCGUGGGUAACCUGCCCUAUACAGGAGGAUAGCAGUUGGAAACGACUAUUAAUACUCCAUAAGCACACACUGCCGCAUGGUAGAGAGUGAAAAGAUUCAUCGGUAUAGGAUGGACCCGCGUUUGAUUAGCUAGUUGGUGAGGUAAUGGCUCACCAAGGCGACGAUCAAUAGCCGACCUGAGAGGGUGAUCGGCCACACUGGGACUGAGACACGGCCCAGACUCC
rnacentral:rRNA from 1 species